rnacentral:rRNA from 1 species
UGCCAGCCGCCGCGGUAAUACGGAGGGUGCAAGCGUUGUUCGGAAUUACUGGGCGUAAAGCGCGCGUAGGCGGCUAUUUAAGUCAGAUGUGAAAGUCCACGGCUCAACCGUGGAAGUGCAUUUGAAACUGGCGAACUUGAGUACGGGAGAGGAAAGUGGAAUUCCGAGUGUAGGGGUGAAAUCCGUAGAUAUUGGGAAGAACACCAGUGGCGAAGGCGGCUACCUGGACCGAUACUGACGCUGAGGCGCGAAAGCGUGGGGAGCAAACAGGAUUAGAUA